UUUUAUUUGAGAGUUUGAUCCUGGCUCAGGAUGAACGCUGGCGGCGUGCCUAACACAUGCAAGUUGAGCGAUUUACUUCGGUAAAGAGCGGCGGACGGGUGAGUAACGCGUGGGUAACCUACCCUGUACACACGGAUAACAUACCGAAAGGUAUGCUAAUACGGGAUAAUAUAUUUGAGAGGCAUCUCUUAAAUAUCAAAGGUGAGCCAGUACAGGAUGGACCCGCGUCUGAUUAGCUAGUUGGUAAGGUAACGGCUUACCAAGGCGACGAUCAGUAGCCGACCUGGGAGGGUGAUCGGCCACAUUGGAACUGAGACACGGUCCAAACGCCUACGGGAGGCAGCAGUGGGGAAUAUUGCACAAUGGGCGAAAGCCUGAUGCAGCAACGCCGCGUGAGUGAUGAAGGCCUUCGGGUCGUAAAACUCUGUCCUCAAGGAAGAUAAUGACGGUACUUGAGGAGGAAGCCCCGGCUAACUACGUGCCAGCAGCCGCGGUAAUACGUAGGGGGCUAGCGUUAUCCG
rnacentral:rRNA from 1 species